UCUUCGUCCAGCCAUGGACUAAGUGUUUUCACCCAUACCCCUUUCUAUUCAAUAUUUUGUUUCCACGUUUUGGUUCCAUUUUAUCUCUAGAAAUGCAUCAAGACGCAUAUAGUGCUUGUGUGCAAUAUUCCCUUGUGUUUUUUCCUUCGGGGCUUCCGACGACUUUGUCUUUUCUCUAACAACUGUCUCUCCUUAUGCUUAUAUGUCGUUUUUCCUUUUUAUGCUCUCUGACCUUAUUUGUGGAUGUGCUUCUGGUUGCUUGUGUGACGCAUAUAGUGCCUGUGUAUUGCUGCUCGUUUUUUGCUCUCUGGUUUUUUUGCUUUUUUUCUUCCGUGGUGUUGUUUUCGGUAGGUGCCUUUGGUGUGUUUGUAUUGGAGACGUAUGUGUGUCAAGACAUGCUUUUCUCUGUGUUGUAUAUCCCUUCUGUGCUUGUACCCAUAUAUUCUCUGGUGUCUUUUUAUAGUCUCUUACAUGCUCUUCGCCCUUUUUAUGUAUGUCUUCUCUCCAUGCUAACUCUGAUUUUUCUGCCUUUUAAAUAGUCCUCUGGUGUUUAGGUGUGAAACCUUUGGAUUGCUGAAUGAAUGUAACUAUCCUUUUCAUUGCCAUUAUCUUAACAAAUGUGUAACUGAUAGCAUAAAUGUCAAUGAUCAAUGAUUUUAGAUUUGCCCAACUUAAUUCAGUAACGUUUUGCCCUUUGGGUUUUAUGCUCAUGACUGAUUGUUGGUUGUAACUGAAGGACCAAUGGUUUCUGAAUUGUUUUCAUUCAUUUAAUUUAUGACUUUUUUUAUGCCCUGAUUCAUGAUUGUCCCUCUUUCUAUUUUCUUUUAAUAUUAACCUAUCAAUGGUUGAAAUGUAACCAUAUCUUAUAUGCUUGUAGAGUCACAUAUUGAGUCAAUCAUCCUUGCUAAAUUGAAUAAUGUUGUGGACAUAUGCAUGCUAUUUUCUUGUUUAUAGUAUUUGUCUUAUUUCUUUUAUUUGCAUAACAUAGUAUCCAAUCUCACAUCGGUUUAUUUCUGUAC
rnacentral:lncRNA from 1 species